GAUGAACGCUGGCGGCGUGCCUAAUACAUGCAAGUCGAGCGAACAGACGAGGAGCUUGCUCCUCUGACGUUAGCGGCGGACGGGUGAGUAACACGUGGAUAACCUACCUAUAAGACUGGGAUAACUUCGGGAAACCGGAGCUAAUACCGGAUAAUAUAUUGAACCGCAUGGUUCAAUAGUGAAAGACGGUUUUGCUGUCACUUAUAGAUGGAUCCGCGCCGCAUUAGCUAGUUGGUAAGGUAACGGCUUACCAAGGCAACGAUGCGUAGCCGACCUGAGAGGGUGAUCGGCCACACUGGAACUGAGACACGGUCCAGACUCCUACGGGAGGCAGCAGUAGGGAAUCUUCCGCAAUGGGCGAAAGCCUGACGGAGCAACGCCGCGUGGGUGAUGAAGGUCUUCGGAUCGUAAAACUCUGUUAUUAGGGAAGAACAAAUGUGUAAGUAACUAUGCACGUCUUGACGGUACCUAAUCAGAAAGCCACGGCUAACUACGUG
rnacentral:rRNA from 1 species